UUAGCCUUUUUUGUAUUGCCACUAACCACUAAAUAGGCGGAUUUUAGAAAAUGAAUACAGUAUUUUUUAAAAUAUGAUAAUUAAAAAAUUAUUUCCAAUUCCAUGACAAUUUGUAUGAUUUUUUUUUUUUUAAUACAUCAUUGGAAAACACAAGAAAACGACGUCGUUCGAAGCAGAACUGUAAAGCGCCCUUCGGCCUAGCAUCGACUCUCUUCACUGCAAUCGGUGGCUUUUGCGGUCUCUCUCUAGCUCUAGAAACUUCAAAAACAAAAAAGUUUGUGUCUCGUCUUAAUUCACAUCCAUAUUUAGCGUUGUUGGGUGAAUUCAUCAAUAAGGAAAAAUGCAGUUCUUUGGAGGGUCGGAGAUCAGCCCAUUGCCGCCGCUGCCAACAGCAUCGGGAAACAAUGCCCACAUAAUGUAUGUGUUUAACAGGAAUGGGGUGUGCUUGCUUUACAGGGAAUGGAAUCGCCCUCUUAGGACUCUGAAUGCCCAGCAAGACCAUAAGCUCAUGCUUGGUCUCCUUUUCUCUCUGAAGUCCUUAACAGCUAAGAUGGAUCCCACUAGUUAUAUCUUCUUCCUAGUCUUUUAUUCGAAUUGGAACUGUUUUCGGGGUGUUUAGGUGUUUUGUGGAAAUGGAAUUACUUGAUUUUGUAUUUGGAUAACUUUUGAAAGCAUAAAUUCAUUGUUUGGAAUACAAUUAUAAC